UACGUAGGGGGCGAGCGUUGUCCGGAAUCAUUGGGCGUAAAGAGCUCGUAGGCGGUUCAGUAAGUCAGGUGUGAAAGCUCCGAGCUCAACUCGGAGAGGCCACCUGAUACUGCUGUGACUAGAAUCCAAUAGGGGAGUGUGGAACUCCUGGUGUAGCGGUGAAAUGCGCAGAUAUCAGGAAGAACACCAGCGGCGAAGGCGGCACUCUGGGCUGGAAUUGACGCUGAGGAGCGAAAGUGUGGGUAGCAAACAGG
rnacentral:rRNA from 1 species